rnacentral:rRNA from 1 species
UACGUAGGGUGCAGGCGUUAAUCGGAAUUACUGGGCGUAAAGCGUGCGCAGGCGGUUUCUUAAGUCAGAUGUGAAAGCCCCGGGCUUAACCUGGGAACUGCGUUUGAAACUGGGAGACUUGAGUGUGGCAGAGGGGGGUGGAAUUCCGACGUGUAGCAGUGAAAUGCGUAGAUAUGUGGAGGAACACCGAUGGCGAAGGCAGCCCCCUGGGUCAACACUGACGCUCAUGCACGAAAGCGUGGGGAGCAAACAGG